GGUUUGUUGAGGCAGGCCUUGAAAAAUGUAAACGAAAUUUUUGGCCAGACCAUAUCUAGUCAGGCCUUAACCGAUACGGAUCGUGGAAAAGAGAACUAAAAGCGUUUGAGACUGGGCCGAUUGCCGCUUCGCUUUGGCAAUUUAUCUGGCCCCAUCUGCAAUUGUUGACUUUGUGCCGACGACUGGCCCGCAAUGUACGCUAUUGUCCUGCUUUGCAUAAUAGCUAACGAACUAGGAUUUUUUCCACAUUCCCACAUUGGUCUGGUUUGGGCCCCACGCCAUGCUGGUCUCUGUGUCUGGGCUUGCAACACUCCCUUCCAUGUGGAGCUUGGCGUUCGCUUCAUUGGCAUAUCAAUCAAAGACCAAAAACGGAAAAUGAAUUCGCUUACUCACACCAACCGAAGUGGGAUAGGAAGAAGGAAAGGUAUGCUGUGGAGAAGGGCCAGUGUGCAGAUGCGGAAUUUUUUCUGCUGCCUCGGCCGGAUGCCAUUUUAAUUAAGUGUUGGCUGCCUUGGCAUCCGCGGCAAGGACGAAGCCUAGCAGGAGUCCGCGUCUCCGUGUGUGCCGUCGUGGGUCCUGACCAAGAGAAAUUUAACAUUCAGAUGGUAGAGCAUAUCUCGGUCUAUACUCUGGAUGGAAGUGACAGCUCAAAAUCAGAGAGGAGAGGGCGAGAGCGGCUUGGGGCUGGCUAUUGCGCUCCAUUGCGACUGACAGUUUAAUUAUUAUUUUUGCAAAUCAGUUAAUUAAUUAAG
rnacentral:lncRNA from 1 species